UACGGGGGGGGCAAGCGUUGUUCGGAAUUACUGGGCGUAAAGGGCUCGUAGGUGGCCAACUAAGUCAGACGUGAAAUCCCUCAGCUUAACUGGGGAACUGCGUCUGAUACUGGAUGGCUUGAGUUUGGGAGAGGGAUGCGGAAUUCCAGGUGUAGCGGUGAAAUGCGUAGAUAUCUGGAGGAACACCGGUGGCGAAGGCGGCAUCCUGGACCGAUACUGACGCUGAGGAGCGAAAGCCAGGGGAGCAAACGGG
rnacentral:rRNA from 1 species